rnacentral:rRNA from 1 species
ACAUUAACGAGUAAGGGGUUUUGCGCCCCGGGGGCCUCGGCUCCGACUCCUCACCCUCUGUGUACCUACCUCUGUUGCUUUGGCGGGCUUCGGCUAACCCCGACGUCGGUCCGGGGGCGGCCCCGGGCUCGCGAGCGUCCGCCGGAGGCCAAUCUAACUCUUGUUUAUCAGUGAAGUCUGAGGAGAAAUUCAAUAACUAAAACUUUCAACAACGGAUCUCUUGGUUCUGGCAUCGAUGAAGAACGCAGCGAAAUGCGAUAAGUAAUGUGAAUUGCAGAAUUCAGUGAAUCAUCGAAUCUUUGAACGCACAUUGCGCCCCUUGGUAUUCCGAGGGGCAUGCCUGUUCGAGCGUCAUUGCAACCCUCAAGCACUGCUUGGUAUUGGGCUUCGCCCCCUGGGCGUGCCCGAAAGUCAGUGGCGGUCCACGGGAGACUUCGAGCGUAGUAAAUUUUCAUUCGCUUUGGAAGGCUCUCGCUGCAACCGGCCAGACAACCCCUUUAAUUUCAAUGGUUGACCUCGGAUCAGGUAGGGAUACCCGCUGAACUUAAGCAUAUCAA